UGGGGAAUAUUGCGCAAUGGGGGAAACCCUGACGCAGCAACGCCGCGUGAAGGAUGAAGGUUUUCGGAUUGUAAACUUCUUUGAUGAGGUACGAUAAUGACGGUACCUCCAAAACAAGCCACGGCUAACUACGUUCCAGCAGCCGCGGUAAUACGUAGGUGGCGAGCGUUGUCCGGAAUUACUGGGUGUAAAGGGCGUGUAGGCGGGAAUGCAAGUCAGAUGUGAAAUUCCGGGGCUUAACCUCGGCGCUGCAUCUGAAACUGUGUUUCUUGAGUGCUGGAGAGGAAAGCGGAAUUCCUAGUGUAGCGGUGAAAUGCGUAGAUAUUAGGAGGAACACCAGUGGCGAAGGCGGCUUUCUGGACAGUAACUGACGCUGAGGCGCGAAAGCGUGGGGAGCAAACAGG
rnacentral:rRNA from 2 species